UACAGAGGAUGCAAGCGUUAUCCGGAAUGAUUGGGCGUAAAGCGUCUGUAGGUGGCUUUUUAAGUCCGCCGUCAAAUCCCAGGGCUCAACUCUGGACAGGCGGUGGAAACUACCAAGCUGGAGUACGGUAGGGGCAGAGGGAAUUUCCGGUGGAGCGGUGAAAUGCGUAGAUAUAGGAAGGAACACCAGUGGCGAAGGCGACCACCUGGACUGAUACUGACACUGAGGUGCGAAAGCGUGGGGAGCAGACAGG
rnacentral:rRNA from 1 species